GCCUAGUUGUUUAAGGGGGUCGGUGGAAGGCUGGUUAAACCGUUUGGUUUUCGACCACUAGGACCCGGGUUCGAUUCCCGCAUUGGACA
rnacentral:tRNA from 1 species